UUCUCAAUCGAGUGGCGAACGGGUGAGUAACGCGUGAGGAACCUGCCUCAAAGAGGGGGACAACAGUUGGAAACGACUGCUAAUACCGCAUAAGCCCACAGCUCGGCAUCGAGCAGAGGGAAAAGGAGUGAUCCGCUUUGAGAUGGCCUCGCGUCCGAUUAGCUAGUUGGUGAGGUAACGGCCCACCAAGGCGACGAUCGGUAGCCGGACUGAGAGGUUGAACGGCCACAUUGGGACUGAGACACGGCCCAGACUCCUACGGGAGGCAGCAGUGGGGAAUAUUGCACAAUGGGGGAAACCCUGAUGCAGCGACGCCGCGUGGAGGAAGAAGGUCUUCGGAUUGUAAACUCCUGUUGUUGAGGAAGAUAAUGACGGUACUCAACAAGGAAGUGACGGCUAACUACGUGCCAGCAGCCGCGGUAAAACGUAGGUCACAAGCGUUGUCCGGAAUUACUGGGUGUAAAGGGAGCGCAGGCGGGAGAACAAGUUGGAAGUGAAAUCCAUGGGCUCAACCCAUGAACUGCUUUCAAAACUGUUUUUCUUGAGUAGUGCAGAGGUAGGCGGAAUUCCCGGUGUAGCGGUGGAAUGCGUAGAUAUCGGGAGGAACACCAGUGGCGAAGGCGGCCUACUGGGCACCAACUGACGCUGAGGCUCGAAAGUGUGGGUAGCAAACAGGAUUAGAUACCCUGGUAGUCCACACCGUAAACGAUGAUUACUAGGUGUUGGAGGAUUGACCCCUUCAGUGCCGCAGUUAACACAAUAAGUAAUCCACCUGGGGAGUA
rnacentral:rRNA from 1 species